GACGAACCGUGCGAACGUUGUUCGGAUUCACUGGGCUUAAAGGGCGCGUAGGCGGUCGACCAAGUCUGGGGUGAAAUCUUUCGGCUUAACCGGAAAAGUGCCCCCGAUACUGGCCGGCUAGAGGGAGAUAGGGGCAUGCGGAACUUCCGGUGGAGCGGUGAAAUGACGUAGAUAUCGGAAGGAACGCCGGUGGCGAAAGCGGCGUGCUGGAUCUCUUCUGACGCUGAGGCGCGAAAGCCAGGGGAGCAAAGCGGG
rnacentral:rRNA from 1 species